rnacentral:rRNA from 1 species
UACGUAGGGGGCAAGCGUUGUCCGGAAUCAUUGGGCGUAAAGCGCGCGCAGGUGGUGCGGUAAGUCUGUCGUGAAAUCUCCCGGCUCAACUGGGAGGGUGCGGUGGAGACUGCCGGACUGGAGGCACUCAGAGGCCGGUGGAAUUCCCGGUGUAGUGGUGAAAUGCGCAGAUAUCAGGAGGAACACCUAUUGCGAAGGCAGCUCGCUGGGACGUUACUGACGCUGAGACGCGAAAGCGUGGGGAGCAAACAGG